rnacentral:rRNA from 1 species
GCCUACGGCCAUACCACCCUGAAAGCGCCCGAUCUCGUCUGAUCUCGGAAGCUAAGCAGGGACGGGCCUGGUUAGUACCUGGAUGGGAGACCGCCUGGUAGUACAUGGUGCUUUUGGCU